ensembl:lncRNA
UGAUGAACUGAGACAGUCGAGGGCAGAAAGAGAAGCGUCGGAGAUUGAGACCGAACGGUGGAAAGCUGAGCAGACAAAUGAACGGGAGCGAGAGAGGCAGCAGCACACACUGGAGCUGGAACAGCUGCUGAUGAGGAUCCAAACUCUGGAAGAGAAAAGUAAAGCGGCACAAGCGGAGCUCCCUUCUGCCGCGUCGCCCGACGACCGCAGGGACACUGAUGCUGGAGUCCGUCCGGAGGAAGGAGGCAAGAGGGACGGUGGAGGUUCAAAGGAGAAAGAGGAGGAGGAGGAGGAAGAGUUGGGAACAGAGGAGAAAGAAAGAGAGAAGUCAGCGUUGGUUAUCCAGAGAAACUGGAGGGCGCACAGCAACAGGGACAUUGUGAUGCUGCAGUCGGCGAUGAGAGCUCAUCUCCUCAGAGACUCCCGGCUGAAGGACCUGCUAAAAGAAACGCACAAAAAGGCCGUGGAGGCAACAAGUGAGGCUGCAUCCUCCGCGGAGGGAGGGUUUGACGCGGUUGCCUUGACGAUGAUACAGUCCUCAUUCAGGGGACACCUGGCUCGCUGCAGCCGCGCAACCGAGAGCUCUGGGUUCUCUGUGCCUUCUCCGAUGGGAAACGACGCGCCGACGCUGGCAAAAGGAGGAGCGCGCUCAACACACCCACACGACACAACAGAUGGGGGAAAGCAGGCGGAGGAAGAAGACCCCUGGCUCCUUUCUAGCACUCACUCCACCUGGACGACGGCACCAACUGACCAAACGGAGCUUCGCUGCACAGCUGAGCGCAUCGGAGCCGCCGACGCUGAUUCCGACGACUCCGAUGACAUCAUCGUAUCUCCGUCGCGUCCUCUGAGAAGCAGAGAAGUCUUCAUCUUGUAG